GAGUUUGUCCAUUCAUUCAUCCCUUUAGGCACGUCUUAGUGCAAGAGCCGUUCACUCCUUCGAGGACUAUUUGUUGACCACCUGCCACGUACCAGGCUCUCUCUCGGCCUGGGUACAUUCCAGCGGGGGAGACAGACAGGACGACACACGAAGCCAUAAUACGUAUGAGAGGGGCUCUGGAGCAGAUAAACGGGGACAGGCCCAUCCGACCCCGCGGUUGCGAUGCUUUAGGUAUUUGUUAAUAUACUCUCCAGUGCCCUGUGCAACGCUGGAAAUAUACAGUUCUCAAGAAGCCAAGUCACAAUGGCUAACUAAUCACACUUAGUACUCAACACAUGGGAUUCCAACCGAAAUGAUUUGGAAAGGACCGUAGGUUGUGGGGGAGGAGUCUGAGCCUGAUGUGUGUGUGUACACAGAUCUGGCUCUUAACUGAUUGUAUCUACCAUUUUGCAGUAAUAAAAAUUUAGGUCUUCACAAUAA